UAAAGAUCGCGCUUAUAAUAAUAAAAAAUCUUAAAAAUCACAAAAAGAUAUUUGUCGGAAAUUUGGUAUAAUUUUAAUAUUGGAUUAAUAUUGUUUCUACAGUUGAGAAAGACAAUUUGUAAUUCUCGGUAUUGGGUGCUACGUCUACUACCAUGAAUUUACUCUUCAUUAGCAGUGUCAUACUUAUGCUACCUACGUCAUCAAGCACUGAAACUGAAAUAUAUAGAAAAGUUAAAACAUGUACUGUUCCAACAAUACUACCUAACGGGUUCAUUAACCCAUUUCCAAACACGGAUGGUCUAUACACCAUAAAUACAACGAUAACAUUU